UACGAGGGGGGCAAGCGUUGUUCGGAAUUAUUGGGCGUAAAGAGCUCGUAGGCGGUGUGUCGCGUCGGCCGUGAAAACCUGCAGCUUAACUGUGGGCUUGCGGUCGAUACGGGCAUCACUGGAGUUCGGCAGGGGAGACUGGAAUUCCUGGUGUAGCGGUGGAAUGCGCAGAUAUCAGGAGGAACACCGGUGGCGAAGGCGGGUCUCUGGGCCAUUACUGACGCUGAGGAGCGAAAGCGUGGGGAGCGAACAGG
rnacentral:rRNA from 1 species